UCGGGAAUUUUGGGCAAUGGGCGAAAGCCUGACCCAGCAACGCCGCGUGAGGGAUGAAGUAUUUCGGUAUGUAAACCUCGAAAGAAUGGGAAGAAUAAAUGACGGUACCAUUUAUAAGCUCCGGCUAACUACGUGCCAGCAGCCGCGGUAAUACGUAGGGAGCAAGCGUUGUUCGGAUUUACUGGGCGUAAAGGGCGCGUAGGCGGCGCGGUAAGUCACUUGUGAAAUCUCUGAGCUUAACUCAGAACGGCCAAGUGAUACCGCUGUGCUAGAGUGCGGAAGAGGCAACCGGAAUUCUUGGUGUAGCGGUGAAAUGCGUAGAUAUCAAGAGGAACACCUGAGGCGAAGGCGGGUUGCUGGGCCGACACUGACGCUGAUGCGCGAAAGCCAGGGGAGCAAACG
rnacentral:rRNA from 1 species